AUGAACGCUGGCGGCGUGCCUAAUACAUGCAAGUCGAGCGAACAGAUGAGGAGCUUGCUCCUCUGACGUUAGCGGCGGACGGGUGAGUAACACGUGGAUAACGUACCUAUAAGACUGGGAUAACUUCGGGAAACCGGAGCUAAUACCGGAUAAUAUAUUGAACCGCAUGGUUCAAUAGUGAAAGACGGUUUUGCUGUCACUUAUAGAUGGAUCCGCGCCGCAUUAGCUAGUUGGUAAGGUAACGGCUUACCAAGGCAACGAUGCGUAGCCGACCUGAGAGGGUGAUCGGCCACACUGGAACUGAGACACGGUCCAGACUCCCACGGGAGGCAGCAGUAGGGAAUCUUCCGCAAUGGGCGAAAGCCUGACGGAGCAACGCCGCGUGAGUGAUGAAGGUCUUCGGAUCGUAAAACUCUGUUAUUAGGGAAGAACAAAUGUGUAAGUAACUAUGCACGUCUUGACGGUACCUAAUCAGAAAGCCACGGCUAACUACGUG
rnacentral:rRNA from 1 species